rnacentral:rRNA from 1 species
GAUGAACGCUGGCGGCGUGCCUAAUACAUGCAAGUCGAGCGAACCACUUCGGUGGUGAGCGGCGAACGGGUGAGUAACACGUAGGUGAUCUGCCCAUCAGACGGGGACAACGAUUGGAAACGAUCGCUAAUACCGGAUAGGACGAAAGUUUAAAGGUGCUUCUGGCACCGCUGAUGGAUGAGCCGGCGGCGCAUUAGCUAGUUGGUAGGGUAAAGGCCUACCAAGGCGACGAUGAGUAGCCGACCUGAGAGGGUGAACGGCCACACUGGGACUGAGACACGGCCCAGACUCCUACGGGAGGCAGCAGUAGGGAAUCUUCGGCAAUGGGCGAAAGCCUGACCGAGCAACGCCGCGUGAAUGAUGAAGGCCUUCGGGUUGUAAAAUUCUGUUAUAAGGGAAGAACGACUUUAGUAGGAAAUGGCUAGAGUGUGACGGUACCUUAUGAGAAAGCCACGGCUAACUACGUGCCAGCCGCCGCCGUAACAC